CAAUUUAAACAACGAAGAGUUUGAUCCUGGCUCAGGAUGAACGCUAGCGACAGGCUUAACACAUGCAAGUCGAGGGGCAGCGGGGUGUAGCAAUACACCGCCGGCGACCGGCGCACGGGUGAGUAACGCGUAUGCAACUUGCCUAUCAGAGGGGGAUAACCCGGCGAAAGUCGGACUAAUACCGCAUGAAGCAGGGGCCCCGCAUGGGGAUAUUUGCUAAAGAUUCAUCGCUGAUAGAUAGGCAUGCGUUCCAUUAGGCAGUUGGCGGGGUAACG
rnacentral:rRNA from 1 species